rnacentral:rRNA from 1 species
AUUGAACGCUGGCGGCAGGCCUAACACAUGCAAGUCGAACGGUAACAGGAAGCAGCUUGCUGCUUUGCUGACGAGUGGCGGACGGGUGAGUAAUGUCUGGGAAACUGCCUGAUGGAGGGGGAUAACUACUGGAAACGGUAGCUAAUACCGCAUAACGUCGCAAGACCAAAGAGGGGGACCUUCGGGCCUCUUGCCAUCGGAUGUGCCCAGAUGGGAUAGCUUGUUGGUGGGGUAACGGCUCACCAAGGCGACGAUCCCUAGCUGGUCUGAGAGGAUGACCAGCCACACUGGAACUGAGACACGGUCCAGACUCCUACGGGAGGCAGCAGUGGGGAAUAUUGCACAAUGGGCGCAAGCCUGAUGCAGCCAUGCCGCGUGUAUGAAGAAGGCCUUCGGGUUGUAAAGUACUUUCAGCGGGGAGGAAGGGAGUAAAGUUAAUACCUUUACUCAUUGACGUUACCCGCAGAAGAAGCACCGGCUAACUCCGUG